rnacentral:rRNA from 1 species
AGAGUUUGAUCAUGGCUCAGGAUGAACGCUGGCGGCGUGCUUAACACAUGCAAGUCGAACGGGCCUGGGGCCUUCGGACCCCGGGUUAGUGGCGGACGGGUGAGUAACGCGUGAGGAACCUGCCCUGGAGUGGGGAAUAGCGGCUGGAAACGGCCGCUAAUACCGCAUAACGCAGACGGGCCGCAUGGCCUGUGUGCCAAAGAUUUAUCGCUCUGGGAUGGCCUCGCGUCUGAUUAGCUGGUUGGCGGGGUAACGGCCCACCAAGGCGACGAUCAGUAGCCGGACUGAGAGGUUGGCCGGCCACAUUGGGACUGAGACACGGCCCAGACUCCUACGGGAGGCAGCAGUGGGGAAUAUUGGGCAAUGGGCGGAAGCCUGACCCAGCAACGCCGCGUGAAGGAAGAAGGCUUUCGGGUUGUAAACUUCUUUUAACAGGGACGAUGAUGACGGUACCUGUUGAAUAAGCUCCGGCUAACUACGUGCCAGCAGCCGCGGUAAUACGUAGGGAGCAAGCGUUAUCCGGAUUUACUGGGUGUAAAGGGCGUGUAGGCGGGACAGCAAGUCAGAUGUGAAAACUCAGGGCUCAACCCUGAGCCUGCAUUUGAAACUGUAGUUCUUGAGUACUGGAGAGGUUGACGGAACUCCUAGUGUAGCGGUGAAAUGCGUAGAUAUUAGGAAGAACACCAGUGGCGAAGGCGGUCAACUGGACAGCAACUGACGCUGAGGCGCGAAAGCGUGGGUAGCAAACAGGAUUAGAUACCCUGGUAGUCCACGCAGUAAACGAUGGAUACUAGGUGUGG